AGUUGCAACAUCCCCGUGGGUUGGGUGAUGGCUCGGGAGAGCCGGCACAGCGAAUCCACUGCAACU
rnacentral:sRNA from 1 species